rfam:Salmonella enterica subsp. enterica serovar Enteritidis str. LA5, WGS project CAGR02000000 data, contig: Scaffold30-Contig3
CACCGACAUCAGCGAUUCAUUCUGCGAACCGUGGCCGACCGCCAGAUAAGCGUUCAUACCCAGUUCGCGCAUUUGCUGUUCGCCGAUCACGCGGGUGAUGACAUUUUUGCUGUAGCUGUCGGCCAACUGGCGCGCCUGUGACGCCAGGUAGGCGGCGUUACAGAUAUUGGGCGGCAUGUUGCCGAGAUCUUUCGC